AUUCAACGCUGGCGCCAGGCAUAACACAUGCAAGUCGAGCGGGGUGAUGGUGCUUGCACUAUCACUUAGCGGCGGCCGGGUGAGAAAUGCUUAGGAAUCUACCUUUUAGUGGGGGACAACAUCUCGAAAGGGAUGCUAAUACCGCAUACGUCCUACGGGAGAAAGCAGGGGAUCACUUGUGACCUUGCGCUAAUAGAUGAGCCUAAGUCGGAUUCGCUAGUUGGUGGGGUAAAGGCCUACCAAGGCGACGAUCUGUAGCGGGUCUGAGAGGCCGAUCCGCCACACUGGGACUGAGACAAGGCCCAGCAUACUACGGGAGGAAGCAGUGGGGAACAUUGGACAAUGAUGGGAACCCUGAUCCAGCCAUGCCGCGUGUGUGAAGAAGGCAUUCUGGUUGUAAAGCACUUUAAGCGAAGAGGAGGCUCUUUUGGUUAAUACCCAAGAUGAGUGGACGUUACUCGCAGAAUAAGCACCGGCUAACUCUGUGCCAGCCGCCGCGGUAA
rnacentral:rRNA from 1 species